CAGGAAUUGUGCGCAAUGGUCGAAAGACUGACGCCGCGACGUAGCGUGGAGGAUGACGGCUUUAGGGUUGUAAACUCCUUUUAUCGGGGAACAAGUUCUGAGUGUACCCGAUGAAUAAGUAGCUGCUAAUCACGUUCCAGAAGCAUCGGUAAUACGUGAGCUACGAGCGUUGUCCGGAUUUACUGGGCGUAAAGAGAUGCGUAGGCGUCUUCUCAAGUCGGUUGUUAAAUCUUCCAGCUCAACUGGAAAUCAGCAAUCGAUACUGAGUUGAUUGAGGUAGGUAGGGGGAAGUGGAAUUCCUGGUGGAGCGGUUAAAUGCGUAGAUAUCAGGAGGAACACCAAUGGCGAAGGCAACUUCCUGGACCUUACCUGACGCUAAGGCUCGAAAGCGUGGGGAGCAAA
rnacentral:rRNA from 1 species